AGAGUUUGAUCCUGGCUCAGAUUGAACGCUGGCGGCAUGCCUUACACAUGCAAGUCGAACGGCAGCACGGGGGCAACCCUGGUGGCGAGUGGCGAACGGGUGAGUAAUGCAUCGGAACGUGCCCAGUAGUGGGGGAUAACUAGUCGAAAGAUUAGCUAAUACCGCAUACGACCUACGGGUGAAAGCGGGGGAUUCGCAAGAACCUCGCGCUAUCGGAGCGGCCGAUGUCUGAUUAGCUAGUUGGUGGGGUAAAAGCCUACCAAGGCGACGAUCAGUAGCUGGUCUGAGAGGACGACCAGCCACACUGGGACUGAGACACGGCCCAGACUCCUACGGGAGGCAGCAGUGGGGAAUUUUGGACAAUGGGCGCAAGCCUGAUCCAGCCAUGCCGCGUGCGGGAAGAAGGCCUUCGGGUUGUAAACCGCUUUUGGUAGGAACGAAACGGCGCGAGCGAAUACCUCGCGCUAAUGACGGUACCUGCAGAAUAAGCACCGGCUAACUACGUGCCAGCAGCCGCGGUAAUAC
rnacentral:rRNA from 1 species